AUUACCUACGGGGGGCAGCAGUAGGGAAUUUUCGUCAAUGGGCGCAGGCCUGAUGCAGCGACGCCGCGUGCGGGAUGGAGGCCUUCGGGUUGUAAACCGCUUUUGUUCAAGGGCAAGGCAUGGUCUUUGGCCGUGUUGAGUGGAUUGUUCGAAUAAGCACCGGCUAACUACGUGCCAGCAGCCGCGGUAAUACGUAGGGUGCAAGCGUUAUCCGGAUUUAUUGGGCGUAAAGGGCUCGUAGGCGGUUCGUCGCGUCCGGUGUGAAAGUCCAUCGCUUAACGGUGGAUCCGCGCCGGGUACGGGCG
rnacentral:rRNA from 1 species